GGCAUAACAGCAAUGUUUACAAGUUCUUACAAAAGGAGCUCUAUAGGAAAAGGGUGAUACUAGCAAAUCAUGUUCAUAUGACCAACUGUACAGAGUAGUUGAAGUUUUGCUUAUAAAGAACAGAUACACGAGAAAAAGUACAGCAAAAUGCUGAUUCUAGGAAUCGUCUUGUAGCUGGAUACUUCCUGGAAGGCUUUACUAAUUUUGUUGAU
rnacentral:misc_RNA from 1 species